GACGUAGGGGGCGAGCGUUGUCCGGAUUUAUUGGGCGUAAAGCGUGCGUAGGCGGCUGCGCAAGUCGGUUGUGAAACCCCGGGGCUCAACCCCGGAACUGCAUCCGAUACUGCGUGGCUAGAGGUAGGUAGGGGAGAUCGGAAUUCCUGGUGUAGCGGUGAAAUGCGCAGAUAUCAGGAGGAACACCGGUGGCGAAGGCGGAUCUCUGGGCCUGUCCUGACGCUCAGGCGCGAAAGCUAGGGGAGCAAACAGG
rnacentral:rRNA from 1 species